rnacentral:rRNA from 1 species
UACAGAGGGGGCAAGCGUUGUUCGGAAUUACUGGGCGUAAAGGGCGCGUAGGCGGCCUCUUAAGUCGAACGUGAAAUCCCCGGGCUCAACCCGGGAACUGCGUCCGAUACUGGGAGGCUUGAAUCCGGGAGAGGGAUGUGGAAUUCCAGGUGUAGCGGUGAAAUGCGUAGAUAUCAGGUGGAAUACCGGUGGCGAAGGCGGCCAAUUGGCCCAACAUUGACGCUGAGAUACGAAAGCGUGGGGAGCAAACAGG